rnacentral:rRNA from 1 species
AGAGUUUGAUCAUGGCUCAGGAUGAACGCUAGCUACAGGCUUAACACAUGCAAGUCGAGGGGAAACGACAUCGAAAGCUUGCUUUUGAUGGGCGUCGACCGGCGCACGGGUGAGUAACACGUAUCCAACCUGCCGUCUACUCUUGGCCAGCCUUCUGAAAGGAAGAUUAAUCCAGGAUGGGAUCAUGAGUUCACAUGUCCGCAUGAUUAAAGGUAUUUUCCGGUAGACGAUGGGGAUGCGUUCCAUUAGAUAGUAGGCGGGGUAACGGCCCACCUAGUCAACGAUGGAUAGGGGUUCUGAGAGGAAGGUCCCCCACAUUGGAACUGAGACACGGUCCAAACUCCUACGGGAGGCAGCA